AUAGUUGGAUGCGCCGAUGGAACCCACGUUAAGAUUAAAUGCCCAAAUUUGUGAUCAUGCAUACGAUACGUUGACGCCAGGUAUCCAGGCUCAAACCACGACGCAUUUGUUUGGAGUGCAAGCAGGGCGGAAGUUUUUUUCAAGUCACAGUUUGACUCUGGUAAACGAAACACUUGGCUCUUAGGAGAUUCCGGUUACCAGCUUAUGCCGUACCUGAUGACACCUUUCCGUAGUCCUGGCAAUCAAACUGAGACACAAUUCAACAUGAAAUUGUGCAAAGGCCGCAACGUUGUAGAAAGGUGUUUUGGAAUUUUAAAAAACAG